UACGGGGGGGGCAAGCGUUGUUCGGAAUUACUGGGCGUAAAGGGCUCGUAGGCGGCCAACUAAGUCAGACGUGAAAUCCCUCGGCUUAACCGGGGAACUGCGUCUGAUACUGGAUGGCUUGAGUUUGGGAGAGGGAUGCGGGAAUUCCAGGUGUAGCGGUGAAAUGCGUAGAUAUCUGGAGGAACACCGGUGGCGAAGGGCGGCAUCCUGGA
rnacentral:rRNA from 1 species